rnacentral:rRNA from 1 species
AGCUAGUAGUUGAUCCGUGGCUCGAGGACGAACGCUGGCGGCGUGCCUAACACAUGCAAGUCGAGCGGGGACAUACGACGGACAGGAAGUUUUCGGAUGGAAUGGAAGAUGUAUGUUCUAGCGGCGGACGGGUGAGUAACGCGUGAGCAACCUGUCCCUUACAGGGGGAUAACACAGCGAAAGCUGUACUAAUACCGCAUAAGACCACAGAGAGACAUCUCACAGGGGUCAAAGGAGCAAUCCGGUAAGGGGUGGGCUCGCGUCCGAUUAGAUAGUUGGUGAGGUAACGGCCCACCAAGUCAACGAUCGGUAGCCGACCUGAGAGGGUGAUCGGCCACAUUGGGACUGAGACACGGCCCAAACUCCUACGGGAGGCAGCAGUGGGGAAUAUUGGGCAAUGGGGGGAACCCUGACCCAGCAACGCCGCGUGAGGGAAGAAGGUUUUCGGAUUGUAAACCUCUGUCCUUCAAGACGAGAAGAAGACGGUAAUGAAGGAGGAAGCCCCGGCUAACUACGUGCC